UGUGAGAGACAAACAGGUGAAAAUGGGAGGACAAAAGGACAAUAAUACUUCCAGUGUUUCAAGAUGUAACCUGGCUUUACUGAAAAUCGUUUACUGCUUGAGAACAAUACCAACAGUAGCACAGAUAUACAGCAACACCUCAUUUUGAUAAACUAGUCCUUAAAUGUCUUAAUUUAUUUUCAGAAAUCCAGCAGUGACACCAAGUCCUUGUUUAUUAUGGAAACCAUGUUGCCUUGAGAAUGCCAGCUAAGCAGGAAGACUUUGGAUAGGCUCUUUGUUACACCUUCUCUCACAUCCUCACGACUGCCAAGCCUUUGCACAUUUCCCUCUUCACUAUCUCCAAAUUCUGCCUUUCCCCCUCUGUAGCUGUGUGUGUGUGUGUGUGUGUGAUUUGCAACUACAAAUCCAGAUUGUUGCCUUCUUGAGUUUGUACUGUCACACCUCACAUAGUAUUUGGCGAGGGAGGGGAGGCACUGCGAAAAUAGAUGCAUCCGUAGGCUCUGGGAAACCCAAAGGUUUGCACAAGAAUGAUUGAUAUUUGCGCAUGUUAUGCGGCCACAGAAUACUCCCUGACUGAAUGUUGGCAGGGGGUGGGCAUGAAAACCAGGAGGAUGGAGAAAUGGAGCAAAUUGUUAAAGGACAUGGCUGGCUGGAUAGAAUGCUAGACAGAAGUGCAACAUUUUGCUGCAGGUCCUACUUAUUUGAUUCUCCAUAGUGUGUUAUGAAUUCCCUUAAAGAUGCGACCAAGGAAUAAUCUUUUGGGAAGGCUUCUUCAGUGGGUGGGAACUUUUAUCACCAGCCACCCCCUGAGUCCAUCUGCAGUUCCUUCUGCCUGCUCUCUUGUGAAGGAAGAGCCUGGAAUGUGGGGGAUGUCAUCAACUGACAGAGAAAAGAAAAUAUGGGAUUCAACCCUAGCUGGAUCUGAAACCUGGCCUCUCCCAAGAGAAGGAGAAGGAAGCAAGACCCCACAGAGCAGAUCCUUGCCCUGUCAAUGGCCAUGAGGAGACUUCAGAGCCAGAUAUCCCAGCCACAGGUCUCCACAGGCACAGAGGAGAAGAGCCUAAACUGGGGUUGUCUGCGGAACUAACCAAGGAUGUCCUAAAAGCAUGAACAUAAACUUUUGCAGAAGUUUCAUCUCAGCUCACAUUGGA